AAAUCUGUGCCGUGGUCUUAUUUGAUAAGGUUAUGGCAGAAAAGUAGAGGAAAAUACCGUCGUCAUAAAAAUAUAUAUACUCUCAUGUAUCCCUAAUGGAGUAGAUGGUCACGAUCUAUACCGCGAGAAUGACGAAUGUAUGACUGUCAAGUCGUACUUGGAAACAAAAAACAGUUAACUUUGACCUCGUAAGGAAACAGAUGUUACAACAAAAUGUCGGUUGUCGAUGUCAUUCGACAUUACCAACGCAGCAUAGAAAAAUGCCAGGAAGAUGAGGAAAGGAUGUUGCACUGCAUCAAUAAACUAUGUCGCCUACCAAUAACGGUUCAGCUUCUUAAGGAAACUGGUGUUGGCCGUACUGUAAAUGCAUUAAGGAAAUAUGAGGGGCAGGUUGGAGAAGCUGCAAAGUAUACUGUGAUGAAAUGGAAGCAGAUGGUUGCUGAAGAAGAGUCCAGUGAUGAUGAUGGAGAAGAAGCUGGAGAUGAAACUGGAACUGAGAUGCACACUGAAGAAAUUGAUGAAACAAAUGCUAUAGAUGAAGAAGAAGAAGAAGAAGAAGAGGAAGAGGAAGAAGAGGAGGAGGAUGAUGGUGAUAGUGGAGGUUACACUGUUUUGGUAAAGGAGAACAGUAGGCAUAGUCACAAAGAGACUCACAGUAAAAGCAGGAAGGAUGAGAACCACAAGACAGACAGUAGUAGACAUGAAUAUAAGUCACUCAAGGACAAAACACACAGGGAUGUAAACAGCAGCGAAAAAAAACAUAAGGACAGUCAUAAAACUCAAGAUUCAAACAACACACGAGAGAGACAUUCACACAAGAGGAAGAGAGACUCAAGCAAAAAUCACAGACGUGAUGAAAAAAGAAAAAAGUAUGAUAGUGAGAAUGAAAACCUUUCGGAUGAAGGCUCAGAAUCACAAGAAAUGCUAAUUGAUGAGCGAGUGACUGAAGCAAUUAAUGCAGAACGUUACACAGAUGAAGAACAGGAAGGGGAAGAAGGUGAUGGUGAUAAUGAUGACGACGAUGACAGUAAUGAUGUCAGCGACCGUGACAGCACGUUAUUGGCUCCAGAGCAUGGGUCACAUUCAAAGCAGCACAGCAGCAGUUCAAGUAGUAGCCACCAUCACAAACAUCACAAAGAGUCACACCGAAAACAUGAUAAACAUAAAGAAAAGAAGGUCCACAGUAGUGAUAAACAUAGUAGAAAGAGUGAUAGUGACAAGGUAAAUGAAAGGACAGGUGCUAGUGACAGCAAAGAAAAACAUUCAAAGCAUAAAGAUCAUAAACAAGAACAUAAAAAUAACAAACAUAAAGUCAGUAAUAAUACAGGUGAACUGAGGAAGGAAAAAAGUGAAAAUGUGAAACAAAAAACUGAUAGUGUUUUAAAGGACAGCAAUUCAUCAAAAACAGAUUCCAAAAAAAAGCCAAAGGAGAAAACAGAUAGUGCAUCAAAAACCAACACUUCACACAAGCACCAUAAAUCGUCUGAUUCUAAACCAAAGGAAGUGAAAGAGAAAAAGAUAAAAAAAUCUGAACAUGUCAAUGAUGAGGAUGAUGAUGUUGGUGGUAUUAGUUCCAUGUCAGGAGCAAGCUUUGCAGAAGCCCUAGGUAUGGUUGACCCCAUGAUUAAGAAGAAGUCAACAAACUCUUCUGGAUCUAGCUCAAAUUCAAAAACAGCACGAAGCUCUAGCAGUAAGACAUCUGCAGUAGUAGAGAAAAGCAGCUCUAAGAGCAAAGAAAUGAAGCCACCCAAAGUUAUUCCAUCUGCCAAAGAUGAGCCAGUGCCACUCCUUUCUUCAUCAGUGAAGCUGGAGCCGCUCAAGGUGGAUUUGGAUGCAACUCUACCAGAAAUUAGUCCAAACUAUAGGCCAUUGCCUCAUCCAACUCUUGAUGCAAUGCCACAUAAAAAAAUAAAAGUCUUGUCAGAAGAAGAAGAACUUGCUCAAUUAAUGUCCCAAAAGAACCAGAGGACAAAGGUGUACUCUGGGCUGAAGAGUGGCAAAAGCUGGACUAAAGUGCCAACGCUCUUUGAUAUUUGUGUUAGAGUUCUGCAGGAAAAUAUAGAGGCAAUUGAGUACACAGGAGGUGUACCAUAUGACUUGCUUAAACCAGUCCUCAUUAUUGCUACACCAGAUCAGUUAUUCAUGCUAGAGCAUUACAACCCCUACCUUAUUGAAGAAACUGAUGAACUGUGGGAAUUCCAUUGUAAGAAAUCAUUCCGCACAAAAGAGCGGGAAGAGAUGGAGACGUGGCGAGAAAUGUAUAUGCGCUGUGUAGAGGAACAAGAGGCUAAACUGAAGGCAUUGACAUCCAACAUACAACAGUCUAUUGCAAAAUCAACACCAAUUCGACAAACAAAGUUGGCAUAUGUUGACAGUAUUGCCAAACCGCCACGGAAUGUGGCAAAGCAACAGGCAAAAUAUGGCACUGCUGGACCUGUUGUCAUUAGCAAAGGAAGCCCAGUUAAAGGAGCAAAGACAGGCAUGGGGAGACAGAAUUCUGGUCCUAGCACAUCAGCGGCUCCUGUACCUGUUCCCCCACCAAGGAGUGUGCAAUCAGACUUUCCAGAAUCACAUUUCAGGUAUGGAUUCUCCGCAGUGGGAAAACAUUUGAAAAGGCACAUAUUGUCUUUCACUGCCCCCACAAGAAUUUCCAUCUUGUCCCCCACAGGAGGAGCAUAGUGCAAGCACCCAGAAAGAAACAUUUUGUAGAGUUCUCAGAUGUCCAGCGUUUGUUACAGGAGGCCUGUGGUAUGGAAACUGCCAAAGUCAAACCUCGGAUGGCACCUUUGAUGCAGAAGACAAUGAAACUUGUGAAGAGCUUCAAAAGAUGAUGAUUCUUGUAUUUAGAGAAUAUUUCAUGGAUGGCUGAUCAUUGUUAUUUUCGUUUAGCAUCUGUGAGUUUUAUCGAUGAUUCUAAUUGAGUUUUACAAAGAAAAUAUUCUAAAUACGUUGAACCAGUGUGGAAGAGUAAUGUGCUUCUGUGAUGUGUUAUACAAAGAAAUUAUGACCUCUUUCCUUUACAUCUCCACUUCUUUGACAGCGGGAUGCAAUCUGAUCCGGACUCCAAUGAUGUGCAUAUAAUUUUAAUCUUUUUAAAUGUGAAAUAAUCAAAAGUAAAUGACUUAUGGAGGAUAUAUAUAUAUUAGAUAUAUAUUUAUAGGAGGAAUAAGUAUGUGACUUACUGUGUUUGUGAAGCAUCUGGAAAAAGCUGUGUAUUGUAUAGCAGGACUAUUUUUCAGUUGAGUAGGUGAACUGAACUCUAAGAACAAUGAAUUUUGCAUUUUUAGCAAGUUAUUUAGUUCCUAUAAAAAAUAGAUAGCCUGCACAAUUGGUAUCAAGUUGUGAUGUGUUCUUAUUGUUAAAAUUUUAUUAUUUUAAUUUAUAAAGCACCCAGAUGUAUUCUGUUGCUAAUGGAUUUAUCAGUUAUCUCUUUUGCUGAAACAAAAGAGUCGUUGGGUUUGUUGUUGAUGACUUCUGUCAGUAUCUUGCUUAUGCUGAGCUAUCUUUAUUUGACCAAUGAAAUAAAUAUAACCAUUAUGUAAUUUUAGUGUUGUUUAAAAUAAAGAUACUUUUGUGAUGUGAGUACUCACAAUCAUCUCAUGCAUUGACUGAAAGUCAGGAAAUGAACAGAAUGGACAUCUAAAAAUAUUACCUUGUUUUCUUCCAAUGCGUACUUGUUGGAUAAUUUAUUUUUAAUAGUCACUUCUAGGAGAGACUACCGUUGUGAUUGCUAUUGUGUUGAUAAAUGCAAAGAAAAAAAUGUGUGAGAAAAAUAAAAGCCUCAGCCAACUGUAA